GAAAACCAACCACAAGAGCACUCAAGAAAAUGGGUUAGUGGGUUAGUUUAAGGAGUUAGAAUAAUAUUCACAAUUAAACCCACUUAAGCACUACUUAACCCACUAACUACUAUACUUAACCCACUAAGCACUACUUAUUUAAUAAUUAAAAUUUAGUUAGAAAAAUAGGAAAGUUAAAAACAAAUCCACGUGUUUCAAACUCCCCCUUUUUAACUUUCUGAUCAAAACUAAAUUUUAGCUUAACUCCCCCUGAGUCAUUGCUUGAACUCCCCCUGAAUAUGACAACCAAUAUAGCAAAUAACAAAAAUAGCGCAAUCCAAAGUCUCCUCAGUAUCAGCUGCUGUUCCUCCAUCACUAGUACUGGAUCCACUACUUUCCUCUGCUCCUUCAGCUUCACCCUGCUUCAACUUCAUGAUCAGCUUAUUCUCUGCCUCUGACAUCCAAAGGAUGAGAAGUCCCUGCUUCAAUCUUCAUGACUAGCUUUUUCUCCCCCUUUUUGAUCAGAAAGAUCUCUCUGAAGUAUUUCCACCAUGCACUGAUGAUAGGUGAUCUGAACUAGGGAGUGAGUAAGCUGUUUUAACAAAAUAAAUCUCGAGAAACAGAAAUAAGGAUGUCAGGAGUGUUGUCAACAUGAGGAGCAACACCUUCAGUACCAAGAUUAUUUUGACCUGAUUCAGUUGAGAGAAAA
rnacentral:lncRNA from 1 species